GAAACAGAUGCUAAUACCGGAUAACAACCCUAGACGCAUGUCUAGAGUUUAAAAGAUGGUUCUGCUAUCACUCUUGGAUGGACCUGCGGUGCAUUAGCUAGUUGGUAAGGUAACGGCUUACCAAGGCAAUGAUGCAUUGCCGAGUUGAGAGACUGAUCGGCCACAUUGGGACUGAGACACGGCCCAAACUCCUACGGGAGGCAGCAGUAGGGAAUCUUCCACAAUGGACGCAAGUCUGAUGGAGCAACGCCGCGUGAGUGAAGAAGGGUUUCGGCUCGUAAAGCUCUGUUGGUAGUGAAGAAAGAUAGAGGUAGUAACUGCCUUUAU
rnacentral:rRNA from 1 species